UGGGACGGUAAGUGGAAAUAAAAAAUAUAGAAAAAUAUAACUAGCUUCGAACCCGUCCCGAUCCACCAAAUAAAUGCAGUGGAAGGUAGAAAACUCUUUUCUUCCUUCAAUAUGCGCUCCAAUCCGUCAAAAAUUUGUUAAAAAUCCGGUCCCGCCCCAAUCCACCCCAAACGGAGCGGUAAUUGAGAGCCAAAAAUGAAAUAAAAAAUAACCUGUCUCGAAUCUGCUUCGCCUCGAUAAGAAAUGGAGUGGAAGAUAGAGGACACUCCCGCUCCCUCCCGCUCCGUGAUCCAUCUCGUUUGCAUCCCUAAAUAUAUAUGCUUAUCAAUAGAGAUUGAUAUUAUACACUAUCGUGUACCAAAAAUUAUGAUAGAUACCAGAUUUAAAUGUAGUAUUUGGUCUACUAAAAUCAAACUCUUAU
rnacentral:lncRNA from 1 species